rnacentral:rRNA from 1 species
GACGAACGCUGGCGGCGUGCUUAACACAUGCAAGUCGAACGAUGAAGCCGGAGCUUGCUCUGGUGAAUUAGUGGCGAACGGGUGAGUAACACGUGAGUAACCUGCCCUUGACCCUGGGAUAACUGCGGGAAACUGUAGCUACUACCGGAUACGACCCUCGGAGGCAUCUCCUGGGGGUGGAAAGAAUUUCGGUCAAGGAUGGACUCGCGGCCUAUCAGCUAGUUGGUGAGGUAAAGGCUCACCAAGGCGACGACGGGUAGCCGGCCUGAGAGGGUGCCCGGCCACACUGGGACUGAGACACGGCCCAGACUCCUACGGGAGGCAGCAGUGGGGAAUAUUGCACAAUGGGCGCAAGCCUGAGGCAGCAACGCCGCGUGAGGGAUGACGGCCUUCGGGUUGUAAACCUCUUUUAGCAGGGAAGAAGCGAAAGUGACGGUACCUGCAGAAAAAGCACCGGCUAACUACGUGCCAGCAGCCGCCGUAA